rnacentral:rRNA from 1 species
GAUGAACGCUAGCGGCAGGCUUAAUACAUGCAAGUCGAGGGGUAGCAAGAUUGUAGCAAUACAAUUGUUGACGACCGGCAAACGGGUGCGGAACACGUACACAACCUUCCUACAAGUGGGGAAUAGCCCAGAGAAAUUUGGAUUAAUACCCCGUAACAUAGCGAUGUGGCAUCACAUUGCUAUUAUAGCUUCGGCGCUUGUUGAUGGGUGUGCGGCUGAUUAGAUAGUUGGCGGGGUAACGGCCCACCAAGUCUACGAUCAGUAGCUGAUGUGAGAGAAUGAUCAGCCACACGGGAACUGAGACCCGGGCCCGACUCCUACGGGAGGCAGCAGUAAGGAAUAUUGGACAAUGGACGCAAGUCUGAUCCAGCCAUGCCGCGUGAAGGAUUAAGGUCCUCUGGAUUGUAAACUUCUUUUAUAAGGGACGAAAAAAGGUCUUUCUAGAUCGUCUGACGGUACCUUAUGAAUAAGCACCGGCUAACUCCGUGCCAGCCGCCGCCGUAA